GACGAACGCUGGCGGCGUGCCUAAUACAUGCAAGUCGAACGCAGUGGGGCCGGGUGAGUAACCCGUGGGUAACCUCCCCUCAGAGGGGAUAACCCUUGGAAACAAGUGCUAAACCUAUACUGAUGGAUGGACCCGCGGGGCAUUAGCUAGUUGUUGAGGUAACGGCUCACCUAGGCCACGAUGCAUAGCCGAUCUGAGAGGGUGAGCGGCCACACUGGGACUGAGACACGGCCCAGACUCCUACGGGAGGCAGCAGUAGGGAAGAUUCGGCAAUGGACGAAAGUCUGACGGAGCAACGCCGCGUGAGUGAAGAAGGUUUUCGGAUCGUAAAACUCUGUUGGUAGAGAAGCGGUAUCUAACCAGAAAGCCACGGCUAACUACGUGCCAGCAGCCGCGGUAAUAC
rnacentral:rRNA from 1 species